rnacentral:lncRNA from 1 species
GGAGGUCUAGUAUCAGGGUUGUAGGAUAAGGGCUCCUAGAAUUUUUCGUACUCCUCUCCCGGAGUUGGGUGAGGCUUGACAGGGAUAUCCAUAAAUGAUUUUUGUAUUGGAUUGUGUCUCCCUUAUGGUAGUUACUAUUUGAUAUUAUUGCAUGUCAUUUUAUUUAUGGUUCUUAUGUUUAGUUAAUUAUUUACACUAUUUCUGCUGGAGUUACUAAUGCUCUUUUGUUUUUGUUUUUGUUUUUGU